rnacentral:rRNA from 1 species
AGGGUUUGAUCAUGGCUCAGGACGAACGCUGGCGGCAGGCCUAACACAUGCAAGUCGAGCGCUUCACUUCGGUGAGGAGCGGCGGACGGGUUAGUAACGCGUGGGAAUAUACCCUUCACUACGGAAUAGCCUCGGGAAACUGAGAGUAAUACCGUAUACGCCCUUCGGGGGAAAGAUUUAUCGGUGAAGGAUUAGCCCGCGUAAGAUUAGAUAGUUGGUGGGGUAAUGGCCUACCAAGUCUACGAUCUUUAGCUGGUUUUAGAGGAUGAUCAGCAACACUGGGACUGAGACACGGCCCAGACUCCUACGGGAGGCAGCAGUGGGGAAUCUUGGACAAUGGGCGCAAGCCUGAUCCAGCCAUGCCGCGUGUGUGAUGAAGGCCUUAGGGUCGUAAAGCACUUUCGCCAGAGAUGAUAAUGACAGUAUCUGGUAAAGAAACCCCGGCUAACUCCGUGCCAGCAGCCGCGGUAAUACGGAGGGGGUUAGCGUUGUUCGGAAUUACUGGGCGUAAAGCGCACGUAGGCGGACUAGUCAGUCAGAGGUGAAAUCCCAGGGCUCAACCCUGGAACUGCCUUUGAUACUGCUAGUCUUGAGUUCGAGAGAGGUGAGUGGAAUUCCGAGUGUAGAGGUGAAAUUCGUAGAUAUUCGGAGGAACACCAGUGGCGAAGGCGGCUCACUGGCUCGAUACUGACGCUGAGGUGCGAAAGUGUGGGGAGCAAACAGGAUUAGAUACCCUGGUAGUCCACACCGUAAACGAUGAAUGCCAGUCGUCGGGCAGUAUACUGUUCGGUGACACACCUAACGGAUUAAGCAUUCCGCCUGGGGAGUACGGUCGCAAGAUUAAAACUCAAAGGAAUUGA